UACGGAGGGUGCAAGCGUUGCUCGGAAUUAUUGGGCGUAAAGCGCACGCAGGCGGUAAAGUAAGUCGGUUGUGAAACCCCAGGGCUCAAUCCUGGACCUGCAGCCGAUACCGCUAAACUAGAGUACGGAAGAGGGGAGCGGAAUUCCCAGUGUAGAGGUGAAAUUCGUAGAGAUUGGGAGGAACACCGGUGGCGAAAGCGGCUCCCUGGUCCGAUACUGACGCUCAGGUGCGAAAGCGUGGGGAGCAAACAGGAUUAGAAACCCGGGUAGU
rnacentral:rRNA from 1 species